rnacentral:lncRNA from 1 species
AUGGACGAUGAAGCUAAAGGGUCAAGUGUUACGGUAAACAUCGGUGGUGUGAGCAGCGUCCAGGUCCUGUUACUGCUGAGCCCAUGUGCUGCUGAUUUCACAAAUCCGUGUACAGUGGGAAAACUGGCUUCUCUUGACCUGAACACGCAGGAACAGGUGUUUGUGGAGCCGCUGCUGGAGUCGGCAGAGACGGCGACCGUUUGGCUCCUCUGGACCCGCUCCGGCUCCUCCGGACCCGCUCCGGCUCCUCCGGACCCGCUCCGGCUCCUCCGGACCCGCUCCGCCUGCGUGGACAUGUGACGGCAGCGCCGAUGUCAACAAACCAUCCUGAGAUCACACAUUUGCUUCAGUGGCGGCGUCAACCCUCGCGCUGACGACUACGUCGAGGAGGCUUUUAGGUUUUCCCUGCUUGGAUCUAAGGCGUCUGAAAGUUCCAUCAUUUGGAAGCUAUAAAAAGUUCAGUGUUUCAUUAAACGCUUUUUGCUAGUCGCUCUGAACGAGGCUGCCGUCCUGCGACAAAACGCCAGCUCAGCAGUUACCUACCGGACACGUUGUGCAGCCUUUGACAGCAAUGAAAGCAAAUGAAAUGCUUGACCAAAGUCACCAGUAGCAUCACUAACAUUAAAGAUGUCCUGACUGAAUCACAAAGGUUAGCGUUUGCGCAGAUGCUAGCUAUGACUAAAAAUUUGGGCCCCCUGCUGAGACCGCAAACAUUCAGCCUGCUGCUAGCACUCAGCUAACAGGGUCACGUCACCGCUAACUCAUGCAUAUUAUUCAUUCAGGCUUGUAAACAUAAUAUGUUCAGUAUUUGGAUCAAGACACUGUUAAAUAAAUUGAAUACACUUGUUUGAACA